rnacentral:lncRNA from 1 species
GAAGCUUGAUCAGGUUCAUUGGUACGAAGAGAGUCCAAGGAAAUGGAGUCAGCUGAGAUAUUCCCCGUAGGAGGUUGAACCUUUAAGAAAAGAUGAGUCACCAAACAUCCUGUGAGCCCAAAAAAGUUCACAGAGGCAAAACAAUAAAAAUAAAUAAAAAUAACAAACAACAAACUCACCUGGACGAGACGGACUUGGAUAACAGGUCUGUUGUUUGGAUCAAGAGCGGAGUGAAGAAGUCUCUGGUGCAUGAGAACGUCUUCUGCUCUCUC